rnacentral:rRNA from 1 species
AGACGGGGCCCGCACAAGCGGUGAGCAUGUGGUUUAAUUCGAAGCAACGCGAAGUAACCUUACCAGGUCUUGACAUCCCGAUGCUAUUUCUAGAGAUAGAAAGUUACUUCGGUACAUCGGUGACAGGUGGUGCAUGGUUGUCGUCAGCUCGUGUCGUGAGAUGUUGGGUUAAGUCCCGCAACGAGCGCAACCCCUAUUGUUAGUUGCCAUCAUUCAGUUGGGCACUCUAGCGAGACUGCCGGUAAUAAACCGGAGGAAGGUGGGAUGACGUCAAAUCAUCAUGCCCCUUAUGACCUGGGCUACACACGUGCUACAAUGGUUGGUACAACGAGUUGCGAGUCGGUGACGGCGAGCUAAUCUCCCAAAGCCAUCCUCAGUACGGAUUGCAGGCUGAAACCCGCCUGCAUGAAGCUGGAGUUGCUAGUAACCGUGGGUCAGCAUACCGCGGCGAAUAUGUUCUCGGGCCUU